CGGCUCUUGAAACUUGGGGAACAGCCUGUGCUAAAUCUGGGCAAACACUACAAGAUCCUUCCUGGGGUAAAUGAGAGAUAAUCUCAAAUUUCAAGAUGUUUGGCUUGGCCUAUGAGGGCUGAAGAGAGACUAUGUGGAUUAUGAUGGGGAGGGUUGGGGUAGAUAAUAAUUAAUUUGGAUUUGAAACAGGGAGGAUGUUUUUGCGGUACAGGCAUCACGACAUAUCUCAGCGGACACUACAGACAGUUUUAUAGGUUCACAGUAACUCCAGAAGACUGCCAAAAUGAGAAAUAAUAGUUUGCACUGCGGGGGGACUCACCGCUGCGGGCAGUCGGGUGGGUAAAGCUCUAAUCUUACUUCAUUGUAACGUGGACUGUGAAACAGGCUGUAGCUGGAUCCUGGCAAAGGAGCAGCUGCAUUGGAUCCACCUCAGAUUCAGAGCACAUGAAAAAAAGUCCUGCCGAGAUGGGCAACUGCAUGCAAGUGGGCAAGACAGAUGACAGCUUGUGUGAGAAAUACGGGCCCACAGAGCACUCUCGGUAAAGGCUGAGGACCGUGAGGGCUGUUAGCUCUGCCCUCUGUUCAACUCAAAUGGGGAAGAGAAUGCAGAUGAACCGCUGAAUAUUUCAGUUUCUUUGGGACAAGAGAUGGAUGCGAGUACAAUGCAAGACAGUGACUUUUUGGUUCUUCAUCUUCUCAGAAAAAAUAAAAGAGCGGACCACCAAAACUGACAUGGCACAUCGGAAGACAGACAGAAGAACAAAUGGAAAAAUAUGACUGUCACCCUUGGCAAUGCUGGUGCUGCCAGACAUCCCCACGUGCUGAGGCAGGUCUGUGAUCUGCACCACUGAAGCAGACUGUGUACUGCUGGCGGUGAAGCAUGACUUUACAAUUGACUCCAAUCAUGCAACUGAGUUCAGAACUGGUGAAGUCAAUGGGAAUCUUGGAGGACAUGGGAGUGCUGUCGAGGAACAGUCACCAGAUCAGGGCUUUGGACUGCAAGCAACAGCUCCAAGACGUUGGACAAGCCUCUCCCGUGACAGCACCCUUCCCCGAGUUGACCAUGAGUCACUGGAGACUAUAGUUCAAACUGCU